ACAGUCUGUCACUAUAUUUAGUUAUAUUUAACGUUAAACUGUCUGUCGCUAUAAACAGGUGUAGCGUCGUUUUGUCUGUCGCCAAAAAAAGUGGACCCCAACACCUAGCUUACAUUGAGAGCGCCCGCCCGCUCACUUUCAGCUCGCGCGCAAAUUUUUAGCUAGACCCACACGUACAGUGAAAAAACCCUAGACCUCUAUCUUCUCCCCGAUCCAAAAUGCAGGCGCCGCCGCCUUUUCUCUUUCUCCGCUGCGCUCUCCCUCGCCUAAAAUCUGAAGCCCGCCUAUCCCAUCUCCCUCCCCCAAUCUAUUGCGUUCUUGCCGCCCUCUAGUCUCUCCCGGAUUCCACCUGCCCAGAUCUCUUCCCCGCCUGCCUGGUUUACGCCCGCAAUGUUGCUACGCUGCUUGGCUCCCUAAUCCCGUAGCAAGGAGGACGCGGCAGCUCGCGGACGGGCUAGUCUCUGUUCCCGCGCCUUGCCCGCCCAUCAGCUCCGACAAUCGCGGACGGGAUUGUCGCAAGGUGCACGCGGUGGUCCACGCGCUGCCAGCCAUCCCCUGGUCCUGUGCGCCGCCAACUGACCAAAUCGACGGAGGAAGCCAGUCUGCUCGUAUCUCCCUGACGCCGCCGGUUAGAGCUCCUGCGCUUCUUCAGGCUUGCGUCAUCAUUGUGUUUGGCUAGAGAGUUUGAUUUCUUGUCUGACAGCAGAGCAAUAACUCAAGACUUGGUAAAUGGUGAAGCCCUGUCCAAGAAGCACAGAGCACAGCUUUUCCUCAACCAAGCCUGUAGGUGAAGAAUUCCGUUAGAACCAAGCUACUCAACACGCCCAAAGAAAAAAAAAGGCUUGACAAAGUGUUGCUACUGCACCAAUCCCAACAAGGAUGUGCUGCAUUGAACCACGAGGUUGACACAAGACCUACUUCACCGACACAAGAUAAGGCUGCCCGUGGUGCUCCCACACAGAUCACAACAAGUUGCAAACCUGCUCCACUGACAUCGUGCUCACAUUGUUUGCAGCCUGCAGAUUCAAGUAUUUCAGUCUGAACAAAUAUAUUCAGAGAGUCACUCCCAACAAAGACUCAUGAAUAAAUCAUGGAUCAAUAGUGAUGCUAGGCACACAAAGACAUACCUGCAAGGGGUCAAUAGUUUCCUAGCUUUUGCAUUUAGAAAUUCAGCGGUAGGGGACAAGAUACUAUGCCCUUGCAGAAAGUGUGUUAACUCAUUUUGGAGGGACUCCAGUGAUAUAGGAGAGCACUUGAUAUGUAAUGGGUUUCUAAAAGGGUACACAACUUGGAACUUACAUGGGGAAGCUAGUUCCUCUUAUGUGAAUAUCGACAAUGGUGAUGGUAUUGAACUUGUGGAAGAGUCUAAUGAAGAGGAUGACAUAUCUGCAUUGCUUAGAGACCUAGCUUGUGGUUUAGAUGAUAGAGGGGAUUUUGAAGACAACAGUUCUGUUGUUCUUCCUAAAGAACUAGUUGACCUCCAAAAGUUGGUAGAAGCCAACAGUCAAGAAUUAUUUCCUAAUUGCAAGAAGUACACAAAACUGCGUUUCCUGAUUAGGCUUCUUCAUAUCAAGCUCCUUGGAGGAUGGACUGACAAAAGUUUUGACCUUAUACUAGAUUUAUUUAAUGAGGUCUUACCUAAGGGUUCAACACUACCCAGAAACUACUAUGAAACUAAGAAACUGAUUAAGUCCAUAGGACUUGGGUACAUUAGUAUUCAUGCCUGUGAAAAUGAUUGCAUUCUGUAUUGGAAGGACCAUGAAAAAUCUGAAUCAUGUCCAAAGUGUAAGGUUUCACGUUGGAAAUCAGCUAGGAAGAGUCUAGAUGGGAAACAUGUGUACAAGGUACCUAAGAAGGUUCUUCGGUACUUUCCGAUAAAAAAAAGGCUCCAAAGACUAUUUCUGUGUUCUAAAACAGCAAGUCUAACAAGAUGGCAUGAUGAGGAGAGAACUAGAGAUGAUGUUCUUAGACAUCCUGCAGAUUCUCCUCUAUGGAAAGACUUUGAUCUUAAACAUCCUAAGUUUGCCGGGGAUAGCAGAAAUAUACGUCUUGCUUUCGCCACCGAUGGUUUCAAUCCUUAUAUAGGACCCAAAGUAUUAGCUAUAGUAUUUGGCCUGGUAUCUGUAUCCCCUAUAAUUUUCCACCAUCAAUGUGUAUGAAGCAAUCAAAUUUCAUAUUGUCUUUGCUAAUUCCUGGAAAACAUGCUCCUGGUAGUGAUAUGGAUGUUUAUCUCCAGCCACUUGUGAAUGAUUUGUUAGAUAUGUUUGUUGAUGGUGUUAGAACAUAUGAUGCUUCGAAGGGUGAGUAUUUCCAAUUACGGGCAGCAGUCUUGUGGACUAUUACAGACUUUCCAGGUCUAGGCUAUGCAUCUGGUUGUGUCACAGCUGGUGAAGCAGCGUGUCCUGAUUGCCACUCAUAUACUUGUUCACACAGACUUGGUAAUGGCAGCAAGACUUGUUAUAUGGGCCACCGUAGGUUUUUGGAUGAAAAACACCCAUUUAGGUUCGACGUUGAUAAGUUUGGUUCAACUGAAUUUAGGCAGGCACCUGCUCCGCUUUCUGGGGAGGAAGUGUUGGAGUGCACAAAAGAUAUUGUUACAGUUUUUGGCAAGGAUCCGACUAGAAAGACACCAACAAGGAAGAAACGCAAGUUAGGGGAGCCAUUGGUCAUUUUUAAAAGGAGGUCUAUUUGGUUUAAACUUCCCUAUUGGAAAGAUUUAAUGUUGAGACAUAAUUUUGAUGUCAUGCACAUAGGAAAAAAUGUGUAUGAGAACUUUGUUAAUACAUUCUUAGGCACCGAUGGAAAAUCUAAGGAUAAUCUGAAUUCUCGCUUAGACCUUCAGGCUUUAGGUAUUAGAAGUGAUCUUCACCCUGUUGAUGUUGAAGACCAAUUUUAUUUACCACCUGCACCAUAUUCAAUGAGUCCUGAGGAGAAGAAAUUAUUUUGUGAAGUACUAAAAGGAGUCAAGUUUCCUGCUGGUUAUGCAUCUGAUAUACGACACAAUGUUCAUGUUAAUGAGAGAAAGGUGUUUGGCCUUAAGAGUCAUGAAUGCCACAUCAUUCUACAACACUUACUACCACUUGCUGUAAGGAAAGUAUUGCCAGAAGUAGUUAGUGCUGCAGUGAUCCGUGUUAGUCAAUUCUUCAAGAGAAUCUGUGCUCCUGUUUUCCGCAAAAGUGAUAUGGAUAGUUUAGAGGCUGAAAUAGCUGAAACCUUGAGCCUUCUAGAAACUAUAUUCCUUCCCUCCUUUUUUGACAUUAUGGUACAUCUGAUGGUCCAUCUUCCUGCCCAAGCAAGACUAACUGGUCCAGUACAUUUCCGUAGCAUGUGGCCUGUUGAGAGGUUUUUGAUGAGGUUGAAAGGUGAUGUUCGUACAAAAAGCCAUCCGGAGGGGUCUAUUAUGGAGGGUUCAAUGUUUUAUGAGAGCCUUACACUAUGUGGACACUAUUUACAUAGCCGAGCGCUUAGAAAUGUUGAAGGGCUGCAAGAUGAAAAUUCUACAACCCCUUUCUUUGAUAGCAUUGGUCGGGGUUUAGCUGGGAAGUGCACAGUGAGUUUAGACCAUAAGACUUGGUUGCAAGCACACAGAUAUGUGUUGUUCAAUUACGAGGAUAUAGGGCCUUACUUGGAAAAGUAUGGUCACUAUCUAUCAUCGAUUGGUGUUCGAAACCAACGAGCUAUCAACCGAAUGCAACAUGAAUGCUUCCAUGAGUGGUUUAGGUCGCAUGUCGAAGAAAUCUACGAGGAAGUACCAGAUGAGAUACAAAUCUUAGCCAAGGCGCCAAUCAUGAGUGCACAAAAAUAUAGUAGCUACACAAUAAAUGGAUUUGAUUUUCACACUGAGUCCUAUGAUGUGGGGAGGUCUGUCCAAAAUAGUGGGGUUGCUCUGGUUUCAGAGUCGACAUGCUUUGAAAGGGGUGAUAAUGAUAAUGUCAUAAUAGGAAACAAGACUUAUUAUGGUAUUAUAAAGGAGAUAGUUGAACUGAACUAUAACCAGAGAGGAAAUAUUGUUCUUUUCAAGUGUGAUUGGGUUGACAACCGUGUGCGUGGCAAAUGGGUUAAAACUGAUCAGUUCGGGGUCACCACUGUCAACUUUAAACAUUUAUUCAAUACUGGUGAAAAAUUAUCAGAUGAGCCUUUCAUACUAGCAUCACAAGCUGUGCAAGUCUUCUAUGUGCCUGAACAUGCUGGUUCUGAGUGGGUUUCUGUUCAUCAGUCCAAACCAAGAGACUUCUAUGAUAUGGAUAACUUGGAGAGUGAGCACCUAGAUAAUGGCAAUGGACUUGUUCUACCAUUGCCUGAUCUAAAUGCAAAGGUGACUGUGGAUGUUAUUAAUGGGGUUGUACCCACUAUUAGGACAGACAUAGAUGGUAUAAUUGUUGAGCCUAAAAAGAGAAAAAAUGUCAAGCGCAAGAGGAAGGGGUAAUGAAGCUGAUGGCAUGACUGAGUAUGAGAGGCAGAAAUGGAAACAUGUUGCAAGAAACCAAGAGAAGAUGGAUUCCCUCGGUGUUCGUGAGCUAAGAGCUGCACUCAAGCCUGCCCAACCAACAAAAAUAACAAAGAGAAAUCAUAACACAAGUGAUGCAACCAUUGAACAUCAUAAUUUGCGACCAAGACCACAACGAAAUUAUGUAGAGUCUGCAAAUGAGCAGAUAACUGAUGAUCCUGAUUAUGAACUAGUUGGGGAAUUCUUAUGUAACAAUAAAGAUUUAUGUUUUCAUCUGUAUAGAUUUGCACAACGGUACUUAUAAGAGGAAAGGAAGGGGCAUCACCACAAUGAAUGACAUAUUCUCAAGGACAGCUGAUAUGCCUAAAAUUAAAAUAAUUCUCAAUCAAUAUGGUCAGCCUGUAGGAGAUGAUUAUAGGAAGUUUGCUAGUGCCAUUGGCUGUCAAGUGAGAAAGAAAUUACCAGUUGGAUUUAACGAUUGGAGGGCUGUUCCCCUUGGAAAGAAGCUUGAAGUUUGGGAUAACUUGUAGGCAUUCUAUGAUGUGGAUGCUGCUGCCAAGAAAUGGUUUAUGGAUACAGCUGCAAAGAAGUGGAAGGACUACAAGGCAGACUUAAAAGACAAGUAUUUUGAUGAAAUAUUAACAGAUGAACAAAUGAAGGAAAGACUUAAAAAUAUAUUAAAUGAUGAAGACUUGAAUAAUCUUAUUAUGUUUUGGAGGUCUCCUGAAUGUCAAGCUCGCACUGAAAGAGGAAAAGCAAAUCGUGCGAAGUUGAGGGUUCAUCAUACAUCUGGAAGCAUUAGCCAUGCUUGUCGUAGUUAUAAUUUGGGUAAAGCACUUGGACGUCGCCCUCGAAGAGAUGAAGUGUAUAUUAAUACACAUACCAGAAGGAAUGGUGUGCCUUUAAGGGAGGCAGCAGGAACGAUUGAUGAGCUUAAAGCCAUUGUUGAAGCUCAACCAGAGUUGAAGGAUAAAACAAUUCAAGAAGGCGAUGCGUAUGCUGCUGUUUGCGGAGCAAAGGAGCCAAGAGGACGUGUUCGUGUUUUGGGUCUGGGACCAACUCCCAAGAGGUUGGUACCCCUAGGCU